GACGAACGCUGGCGGCGUGCUUAACACAUGCAAGUCGAACGGGAUCCAAAGGCUUUUUGUUUUUGGUGAGAGUGGCGAACGGGUGAGUAACACGUGAGUAACCUGCCCCCUUCUUUUGGAUAACCGCAUGAAAGUGUGGCUAAUACAGGAUAUUCCAGGCUGGUCGCAUGAUUGGUUUGGGAAAUGGUUUGGUCUGGUGGGGGAUGGGCUCGCGGCCUAUCAGCUUGUUGGUGGGGUGAUGGCCUACCAAGGCGGUGACGGGUAGCCGGCCUGAGAGGGUGGGCGGGCACACUGGGACUGAGAUACGGCCCAGACUCCUACGGGAGGCAGCAGUGGGGGAUUUUGCACAAUGGGCGCAAGCCUGAUGCAGCGACGCCGCGUGAGGGAUGAAGGCCUUCGGGUUGUAAACCUCUUUCGCUGGGUUGAAAGGCCAUGCUUUGGGUGUGGUUGAUUUGAACUGGUAAAGAAGUACCGGCUAACUACGUG
rnacentral:rRNA from 1 species